GAUGAAGAACGUAGCGAAAUGCGAUACUUGGUGUGAAUUGCAGAAUCCCGUGAACCAUCGAGUCUUUGAACGCAAGUUGCGCCCGAAGCCAUUAGGCCGAGGGCACGCCUUCCUGGGCGUCACACGUCGUUGCCCCCCCAUCUACUCCUUCGGGAUUGCGGGGGGCGGAUGAUGGCCUCCCGUGCGCCUCGUCGCGCGGUUGGCAUAAAUGCCAAGUCCUCGGCGACGCACGCCACGACAAUCGGUGGUUGCGAAACCUCGGUUGCCCGUCGUGUGCGGUCGUCGCGCAUCGAGGGCUCGAAAAAAUUGUCGGGCUCCGGCUCGGCUUUCAACGCGACCCCAGGUCAGGCGGGGUUACCCGCUGAAUUUAAGCAUAUCAAUAAGCGGAGGA
rnacentral:misc_RNA from 1 species